GAGGGUAUGGCUCAAGUAGUAGAGCACGUGCUUAGUAUGCACGGGGUCCUGGGUUCAAUGCCCAGAACCUCCU
rfam:Camelus ferus unplaced genomic scaffold scaffold386, whole genome shotgun sequence.